AUAUAGGUUGUAGGGAACUGAAAGGGACGACCCUUCGGGAGCCUAUACAGGUGUUGCAUGGCUGUCGUCAGCUCGUGUCGUGAGAUGUUCGGUUAAGUCCGCUAACGAGCGCAACCCUCGUCGUAUGUUAUAUGUGUCAUACGAGACUGCCGGUAAAAGCCGGAGGAAGGUGAGGAUGAUGUCAAGUCAGCAUGACCUUUAUAUCCAGGGCUACACACACGCUACAAUGGUCUGUACAAUGGGUAGCCAAGCCGCGAGGCGGAGCCAAUCCUGAAAGCAGGCCUCAGUUCAGAUUGCAGUCUGCAACUCGACUGCAUGAAGCCGGAGUUGCUAGUAACCGCAGGUCAGCAAUACUGCGGUGAAUACGUUCCCGGGUCUU
rnacentral:rRNA from 1 species